CCGAAGGAGACAAGAGAGCCCGCCUGACGCGUCUCCCGUCGCUUCAACUCGUCGAGAAGGAGCUGAGCCGCCGCCAUGCCUGGAGGCCAUUCAACGCCAGGAGCCUGGAGAGGCUGAUGGAGCGCCAGGCAAAGGAUGCUCGCAAGCCAGGGCCUCUGCCGGCCCCGUCAAGCACCGAAGGGGGACUUUGCCGCUCCCCAGGUGAGUUUUGGAAAGAAAGGCGGGGAGGGCCUUCUUUUCUCCUGCAACGGGCACGUCUGCGGAAGUGAGGAUGCUGCUGCUGUUGCUGCUGCUGCCCUUCGCCCAGAGGAAGUUGGUGCCAGUCCCGCUGGAGCAGGAGAGAGCCGAGCCGUCGGCACCGUUUGACAGUGCUGAGCGCUCAAGGUGCUGCCUGCCUCAGCUGCGUCCCCAG